UACGGAGGAUCCGAGCGUUAUCCGGAUUUAUUGGGUUUAAAGGGAGCGUAGGUGGAUUGUUAAGUCAGUUGUGAAAGUUUGCGGCUCAACCGUAAAAUUGCAGUUGAAACUGGCAGUCUUGAGUACAGUAGAGGUGGGCGGAAUUCGUGGUGUAGCGGCGAAAUGCUUAGAUAUCACGAAGAACUCCGAUUGCGAAGGCAGCUCACUAGACUGCAACUGACACUGAUGCUCGAAAGUGUGGGUAUCAAACAGG
rnacentral:rRNA from 1 species